AGAGUUUGAUCCUGGCUCAGGAUGAACGCUAGCGGCAGGCUUAACACAUGCAAGUCGAGGGGCAGCAUAAUGGAUAGCAAUAUCUAUGGUGGCGACCGGCGCACGGGUGCGUAACGCGUAUGCAACCUACCUUUAACAGGGGGAUAACACUGAGAAAUCGGUACUAAUACCCCAUAAUAUCAUAGAAGGCAUCUUUUAUGGUUGAAAAUUCCGAUGGUUAGAGAUGGGCAUGCGUUGUAUUAGCUAGUUGGUGGGGUAACGGCUCACCAAGGCGACGAUACAUAGGGGGACUGAGAGGUUAACCCCCCACACUGGUACUGAGACACGGACCAGACUCCUACGGGAGGCAGCAGUGAGGAAUAUUGGUCAAUGGACGCAAGUCUGAACCAGCCAUGCCGCGUGCAGGAUGACGGCUCUAUGAGUUGUAAACUGCUUUUGUACGAGGGUAAACGCAGAUACGUGUAUCUGUCUGAAAGUAUCGUACGAAUAAGGAUCGGCUAACUCCGUGCCAGCAGCCGCGGUAAUACGGAGGAUUCAAGCGUUAUCCGGAUUUAUUGGGUUUAAAGGGUGCGUAGGCGGUUUGAUAAGUUAGAGGUGAAAUUUCGGGGCUCAACCCUGAACGUGCCUCUAAUACUGUUGAGCUAGAGAGUAGUUGCGGUAGGCGGAAUGUAUGGUGUAGCGGUGAAAUGCUUAGAGAUCAUACAGAACACCGAUUGCGAAGGCAGCUUACCAAACUAUAUCUGACGUUGAGGCACGAAAGCGUGGGGAGCAAACAGGAUUAGAUACCCUGGUAGUCCACGCAGUAAACGAUGAUAACUCGUUGUCGGCGAUACACAGUCGGUGACUAAGCGAAAGCGAUAAGUUAUCCACCUGGGGAGUACGUUCGCAAGAAUGAAACUCAAAGGAAUUGACGGGGGCCCGCACAAGCGGAGGAACAUGUG
rnacentral:rRNA from 1 species